rnacentral:rRNA from 1 species
UGGGGAAUCUUGCGCAAAUGCGGGAAACCGUGACGCAGCGACGCCGCGUGGGGGAAGAAGGCCUUCGGGUUGUAAACCUCUUUCAGGAGGGACGAAGCUACUCGGGUUAAUAGCCCAGAGGGUGACGGUACCUUCAGAAGAAGCCCCGGCUAACUACGUGCCAGCAGCCGCGGUAAUACGUAGGGGGCAAGCGUUGUCCGGAUUUAUUGGGCGUAAAGAGCGUGUAGGCGGCUUGGUAGGUCUGCUGUGAAAACUCGAGGCUCAACCUCGAGCUGUCGGCGGAAACCACUUGGCUAGAGUCCGGAAGAGGAGAGUGGAAUUCCUGGUGUAGCGGUGAAAUGCGCAGAUAUCAGGAAGAACACCUAUGGCGAAGGCAGCUCUCUGGGACGGUACUGACGCUGAGACGCGAAAGCGUGGGGAGCGAACAGGAUUAGAUACCCCCGUAGUCC